GUCAUCGACCGGACGGUCGCGACACGGAACUUCGGUUACCGAUCGAGGAAAGUCCGGGCUCCAUAGGGCUGACCGCCAGGUAACUCCUGGGCGCACGAUCCCAUCGGGCUCGCGCGACGGACAGUGCCACAGAGAAUAGACCGCCGAUGGCCGUUGGGAAACCAGCGGAUCAGGUAAGGGUGAAAAGGUGGGGUAAGAGCCCACCGCGCGGCUGGUAACAGACGCGGCAUGGUAAACCCCGGCCGGAGCAAGGCCAAAUAGGCGGCGAGAGACGGCCCGUCUCAACAACGCCGGCGACGCAAGUUACCGGUGAGCCGCGGGUAGGCUGCUAGAGCACACGGGUGACCGUGUGCCGAGAGAAAUGACCGUCCGAGCGCUUCACCGCGCUCGACAGGACCCGGCUUAUAGGUCGAUGACAAUC
rnacentral:RNase_P_RNA from 1 species